CCUACGGGAGGCAGCAGUGGGGAAUAUUGCACAAUGGGGGAAACCCUGAUGCAGCAACGCCGCGUGAGUGAAGAAGUAUUUCGGUAUGUAAACCUCUAUCAGCAGGGAAGAAGAAAGACGGUACCUGACUAAGAAGCCCCGGCUAACUACGUGCCAGCAGCCGCGGCAAUACGUAGGGGGCAAGCGUUAUCCGGAUUUACUGGGUGUAAGGGGAUCGUAGACGGCAGUGCAAGUCUGAAGUGAAAGCCCGUGGCUCAACCGCGGAACUGCUUUGGAAACUGUAUAGCUUGAGUGCUGGAGAGGCAGGCGGAAUUCCUAGUGUAGCGGUGAAAUGCGUAGAUAUUAGGAGGAACACCAGUGGCGAAGGCGGCCUGCUGGACAGAAACUGACGUUGAGGCUCGAAAGCGUGGGGAGCAAACAGGAUUAGAUACCCUUGUAGUC
rnacentral:rRNA from 1 species